rnacentral:rRNA from 1 species
UGGUAAAUCCGCGAAUGGCUCAUUAGAACAGCUAUAAUUUAUUGGAUCUAAUAUCCUACUUGGAUAACUGUGGUAAUUCUAGAGCUAAUACACGCAACAAAGCCCCGACUUCGGAAGGGGCGCAUUUAUUAGACCAAAACCAAUUGGCUUCGGCCAUCUAUUGGUGACUCUGAAUAACUACGCAGAUCGCACAAGCUUGUCUUGGCGAUGUAUCCUUCAAGUGUCUGCCUUAUCAACUUUCGAUGGUAGUUUAUUGGACUACCAUGGUUGUAACGGGUAACGGAGAAUUAGGGUUCGACUCCGGAGAGGGAGCCUGAGAUACGGCUACCACAUCCAAGGAAGGCAGCAGGCGCGCAAAUUACCCACUCUCAGAACGAGGAGGUAGUGACGAAAAAUAACGAGACAGUCUUCUAUGAGGUCUGUCAUCGGAAUGGGUACAAUCUAAACCCUUUAACGAGGAUCUAUUGGAGGGCAAGUCUGGUGCCAGCAGCCGCGGUAAUUCCAGCUCCAAUAGCGUAUAUUAAAGUUGUUGC